GCAAGCACGAAUUCGGCUCCAGUGGGUCCGAGAAAGCCUCAUCGCUCGCGAGGGAGAUCCGACCAGAGCGAUUGUGAGGAAACCACGAUCCUUUCCACCACAU
rnacentral:ribozyme from 1 species